ACGCAUUAGUCGUCGCCACGGUAGCUCAGUGGUAGAGCACCUGCAUUUGUGAUACCAGGUCGAGCGAUUACUGUACUCGUUUUCGCAGGUUCGAAUCCUGCCUUGUGGCAG